rfam:Paenibacillus curdlanolyticus YK9 ctg99, whole genome shotgun sequence.
AAGGCGGUAUCCGUUUUCAUGGAAUCGCACUUGCAGGGCAUUAUCCUUUCAUUCUAAUUUUUAGCACGGAAGCGGGUUUAUGAUGACGCGUGCGCAACUCUGCUCUGAGCCGUUAGGGACCGAGACAGAAGG